rnacentral:rRNA from 1 species
UACGGGGAGGGCAAGCGUUGUUCGGAAUUACUGGGCGUAAAGGGCGCGUAGGCGGGUGGACAAGUCUCUCGUGAAAGCCCACGGCUCAACCGUGGAAUUGCGGGAGAUACUGUCUGUCUUGAGUCCGGGAGAGGAGGGUGGAAUUCCCAGUGUAGCGGUGAAAUGCGUAGAUAUUGGGAGGAACACCGGUGGCGAAGGAGGCUCUCGGGACCGGUACUGACGUUGAGGCGCGAAAGCUAGGGGAGCAAACGGG